AGAGUUUGAUCCUGGCUCAGGAUGAACGCUAGCGACAGGCUUAACACAUGCAAGUCGAGGGGCAGCGGGGGUAGCGAUACCCGCCGGCGACCGGCGCACGGGUGAGUAACGCGUAUGCAACUUGCCUAUCAGAGGGGGAUAACCCGGCGAAAGUCGGACUAAUACCGCAUGAAGCAGGGGCCCCGCAUGGGGGUAUUUGCUAAAGAUUCAUCGCUGAUAGAUAGGCAUGCGUUCCAUUAGGCAGUUGGCGGGGUAACGGCCCACCAAACCGACGAUGGAUAGGGGUUCUGAGAGGAAGGUCCCCCACAUUGGUACUGAGACACGGACCAAACUCCUACGGGAGGCAGCAGUGAGGAAUAUUGGUCAAUGGCCGAGAGGCUGAACCAGCCAAGUCGCGUGAGGGAUGAAGGUUCUAUGGAUCGUAAACCUCUUUUAUAAGGGAAUAAAGUGCGGGACGUGUCCCGUUUUGUAUGUACCUUAUGAAUAAGGAUCGGCUAACUCCGUGCCAGCAGCCGCGGUAAUACGGAGGAUCCGAGCGUUAUCCGGAUUUAUUGGGUUUAAAGGGUGCGUAGGCGGCCUUUUAAGUCAGCGGUGAAAGUCUGUGGCUCAACCAUAGAAUUGCCGUUGAAACUGGGGGGCUUGAGUAUGUUUGAGGCAGGCGGAAUGCAUGGUGUAGCGGUGAAAUGCAUAGAUAUCACGCAGAACCCCGAUUGCGAAGGCAGCCUGCCAAGCCAUGACUGACGCUGAUGCACGAAAGCGUGGGGAUCAAACAGGAUUAGAUACCCUGGUAGUCCACGCAGUAAACGAUGAUCACUAGCUGUUUGCGAUACACUGUAAGCGGCACAGCGAAAGCGUUAAGUGAUCCACCUGGGGAGUACGCCGGCAACGGUGAAACUCAAAGGAAUUGACGGGGGCCCGCACAAGCGGAGGAACAUGUGGUUUAAUUCGAUGAUACGCGAGGAACCUUACCCGGGUUUGAACGCAUUCGGACCGAGGUGGAAACACCUUUUCUAGCAAUAGCCGUUUGCGAGGUGCUGCAUGGUUGUCGUCAGCUCGUGCCGUGAGGUGUCGGCUUAAGUGCCAUAACGAGCGCAACCCUUGCCACUAGUUACUAACAGGUAAAGCUGAGGACUCUGGUGGGACUGCCAGCGUAAGCUGCGAGGAAGGCGGGGAUGACGUCAAAUCAGCACGGCCCUUACAUCCGGGGCGACACACGUGUUACAAUGGCGUGGACAAAGGGAGGCCACCUGGCGACAGGGAGCGAAUCCCCAAACCACGUCUCAGUUCGGAUCGGAGUCUGCAACCCGACUCCGUGAAGCUGGAUUCGCUAGUAAUCGCGCAUCAGCCAUGGCGCGGUGAAUACGUUCCCGGGCCUUGUACACACCGCCCGUCAAGCCAUGGGAGCCGGGGGUACCUGAAGUCCGUAACCGAAAGGAUCGGCCUAGGGUAAAACUGGUGACUGGGGCUAAGUCGUAACAAGGUAGCCGUACCGGAAGGUGCGGCUG
rnacentral:rRNA from 1 species